rnacentral:lncRNA from 1 species
ACACCCUUGCCGCGAUCCCGUGCCUCCGCCGGUGCCGAAGGCUCUGAAAAGGAAACAUAGAAACAGGGGCGUGAGAACUAUUAAAUAAUAGUUCCCAGUGGGCAAUUACUGACUUCAGUGAAAUGCACCACUAGGCCCGAAACUAUAGAAAAAGGGUCAGUGUACAUUAUAACAAAAGCGAUAAAUGCGCUGUAAGUAAAUAAAUAAACGAGUACCCAAUAAUCAUGAUACCUCUACUUAGCAUAAUUUACAUAAGUAAGGAAGCAACUACUAGCUAUAUGCACAUGAACACCCAACAUAUAAAGCAUGAUUAUGCAACUACCCAAAGUCCACAAUGUAAUAGUAAAGAUGUCAUUGUUUACUAUUCUAGUCCAAGUCCACUUUAACAGUUAUAAAGUUCACAUAGCAUGUUCUGUCACCAAGUCCCAAUCAUAUAAGACCCACCCGAAGGCUGUCUGGCCUGCGCCGUGCCUAAUGGCCCCGUGGUAGUCAACAUCCCCACUCUAGGGAUGAGCCUCCCCCACGGCAAUCCACUUCGGCGCCCAAUCCCGCACGCGCGAGCAUAUGUCGCGAAGGCUAUCUCCGGAGUGCCGGCUUGUAGGGAGCGACCCUCACAAGCAUGUGCGAAUGAGCACAAAUGGCAAGCAAGCAAUGAUCCGUCUCAAGUACCAAGUCCUAAUGUCUAACAACAUGGAAUAUAUCAAGUAUCUCAAUGGCCUAUCUCU